GGCAGCUAACAACUGUAACUCCAAGAUCUGACACCCUCACACAGAGAUACAUACAGGCUGCUCUGUGUGUAGAACCUGGAAAGUCCUAAAGACAGAGACGGAAACCCAGCUGCCACCCUCCAGAAACGACAGUCGCAUAAUUGGGUUGGUGCAGACCUAGAGUUCCUACUGGUUGUUGGAAUUGAAUAUUCUAGAGUUGGAAGAUGUUCUAAAAAUAGGACACUUCGUCUAUAGGAAGGACAGACUUGUGAAACAGGGAUAACCCUGAAACUCUGAGAGGUGAACGUGUUGAUCAAGAUCCCAUGGAAUAGCAGCAGAGCUCCUGCCAGCCUUUGAACUGAGGUCAGUGAUCUGUGCAGUGUCCCUGUUCUCCAAACUCGAAACUCCUCCCAUGUCUGCUCUGUUCCAGGGCCUCCUCCACUACAGAUGAAGCCCUGUGCCCUUCUGCCUACCAAGCGUUUGCCCCCUAGACGAAUCGAGUGGGCCCUGAUGAUAUCUACAGCAAGCUUUUGUCUUCACCCACUUAAAGCUUCAUGGUGACUCUCCCUUCUCUAGUGGCGUCCACUCGCCUGGCUUGAUCUACACACUGAGAGGAGAGAACAACAGCUUCAGCAGGAUGUUUCUGGGAAGUUUCAUUUCUGGGCCUCUUUGCCCCUGAUCUAUUCCCCAUGGCCUCACAAGAGGUCCUGC